rfam:Candidatus Aenigmarchaeota archaeon CG1_02_38_14 cg1_0.2_scaffold_4408_c, whole genome shotgun sequence.
AUUCCGGUUGAUCCUGCCGGAGGAUACUGCUAUCCGGAUUCGACUAAGCCAUGCGAGCUGAGAGUCUUCGGGACUCGGCAUACUGCUCAGUAAUAUAUAGUUAACCUAACCUAAGGUCAGGAAUAAUUUCGGGAAACUGAAGCUAAUACCUGAUAGACAUUCUGGUCUGGAAUGAUAGAAUAUCUAAAGGUCCGCCGCCUUAGGAUGGGACUAUAACCUAUCAACCUGUUGGGGGUGUAAAGUACUCCCAAAGUUAUAACGGGUACGGGCCAUGAGAGUGGAAGCCCGGAGAUGGAUUCUGAGACAUGAAUCCAGGACCUACGGGUCGCAGCAGGCGCGAAACCUUCACUAUGCAUUAACGUGCGAUGAGGGAAUCUGGAGUGCUUAUGCUUUGCAUAAGCUUUUGUUAAGUUGAAAAAGCUUGGCGAAUAAGGGGUGGGCAAGACAGGUGCCAGCCGCCAUUCUAUAGAGUUAAUAACUCUUGGAACGGUAAGCGGUAAUACCUGCGCCCCUAGUGGUAUCCGGUUUUAGUUGGUCUAAAGCAUCCGUAGCCGGUUUUGUUAGUCCCUAGUGAAAUCUAUUGGGAAACUGGUAGGCUUGCUGGGGAUACUGCAAGGCUUGGGACUGGGAGAGGGUAGAGGUACUGCUGGGGAAGGGGUAAAAUCCUAUAAUCCCAGUGGGACCACCUGUGGCGUAACUUAUUCAAAUUUGUUACAUAGAAGGCGUCUACCUAGAACAGGUCCGACGGUGAGGGAUGAAACCUAGGGGAGCGAUCGGGAUUAGAUACCCCGGUAGUCCUAGGCGUAAACGAUGCCCACUUGGUGUUACAAACCUUACGAGGGUUUGUAAUGCCGGAGCGUAGGUGUUAAGUGGGUCACCUGGGGAGUACGACCGCAAGGUUGAAACUUAAGGGAAAGAGAAGAAGCCCGAAACUACACUUAAAUAUAAUAAGACUCAAUAACAUUCUAUGAACGCAAAUAUAGGCUAUCUACUUGGAGCUAUGAGAGAUGCUACAGUUGAUUUUAGAAAAGGCAAAAACUAUGAAGUUAAGAUAUCCCAGAAAAACAAGCAAUGGUUACAAUUGAUUCAGAGUAUUUUUAACAAAGAAUUUGGAAAAGAAGGUCGAAUAACACGACAUAUGAAAGGUUAUUGGAUAUUAAGAAUAAAUGAUAAGCAACUAGUUACAAAAAUUAUAGAGAUUUCUGGGAUAAAGAUUCCUCAAGAAAAUUGGGGUACUCCAGAAGACAUAAGAAAUUGCAGUGAUAAGGAAACGAUAACAAGUUAUAUAAGAGGGUUUUUCGAUGCGGAAGGAGGUCUUCCAAGAAAAAUAGAUAUUGAUUCUCAGAAAUAUAUAAUUUUUAGCCAGAAAAACAAGGAGUCACUUGAAUUCAUUAGAAAAAAAUUACAAGAAAUUAAAAUAGAACCCACUAAUUUAACAAGAUGUGGUGGAGUAUGGGAAUUCAGAAUUACAAAAAAGAAAUGUAUUAUAGAGUUUAUAGAAGUUAUCGGAAGUUUUCAUCAAGACAAAGUUGAAAAAUUUAAAAUUUUAAUGGGUAUUCUUCUCCCCUAAUUGGCGGGGGAGCACAUAAGGAGUGGAGGCUGCGGUUCAAUUGGAUCCAACGCCGGAAAUCUCACGGGGAUCGACAGCAGGAUGAGGGUCACUCUAAAGGGGUUACCAGACAAGCUGAGAAGUGUUGCAUGGCCAUCGUCAGCUCGUACUGUGAAGCGUGCGGUUAAGUCCGUUAACGAGCGAGAUCGACAUCCUAUGUUGCUAACUCGAAAGAGUGCACUCAUAGGAGACCGCUAGUGAUAAACUAGAGGAAGGUGUCGGCAACGGUAGGUCAGUAUGGCCUGAAUUUCCCCGGCUACACGCGGCCUACAAUGUAUGAGACAAUGGGUUGCAACUCCGAAAGGAGAAGCCAAUCUCCUAAACUCAUACUAGGUACGGAUCGAGGGUUGUAACUCACCCUCGUGAAGCUGGAAUUCCUAGUAGACAAACGUCAUUAAAUCAGAGAAUAAAAAUGAACUCUGAUGUGGAGUCGUUCGUCGAAUAUGUCCCUGCUUCUUGCACACACCGCCCGUCAAGCCAUCCGAGUGGAGUCCAAAUGAGGCGCUCUCUUGUUGGGAAUGUCGAAUUUGGGUUUCGCGAGGGGGGCUAAGUCGCAACAUGAAAGUUCAGUCGUGUGCUGGCUUUCUUGCA